CUGGGAUUACAGGUGUGUAUUGCUUGCUCUUUUUCCCUCCUUCCCCAGUUGUGGUGCCUCCUUAAACGACAGUCAAAGUUCAUUGAAGUGUCAUUUAACCUCAAUGCAAAGGCUGGGACAAGACACAGUAUGAACUGCCCUGACAAGAAGAAAAGAACUAAACACCAUCCUUAGGACAAAACCAUCCCAAAGGUUUGAGCUUUUCUUGUGGCAACUCUUGACUUUAGAUGGUCAAAGGACCAGGGACCUCAUUCCUUUAUUUUUGUUACAUCCAGAACUUCUCUUCAUGCCCCUAAAGGCUGAAAAUAACCUCAUACUGCUUAUCUCUUGGGUUCUCGGGGACAGAGAGUUACCAGAUUUUGUGAACUAAUCAAUUUGUUCUUUAUAUUUCACUGAGCCCAGACAGAUUGGGAAAGAAGUGGUGUUUCCUUCCACCAUGUCAAACAGCCUAUGGCUGUAGGGACGAGGCACCUGGGAGUUCUCCUGCCUUGAGGUCAGGGCACCUCCUAAUCGACCUGUCCCCAUUCUCCUCCAAACCAGGAUGUGGUAGCUGAAGAUGAGGCUUGAUAUGAAAAUGGAAAGCCUAAAGAAGCAUGGUGGGAUGUGAGCAAACCAAAGAACUGGGGUUUCCCCCUUAGUUUUUAGGUAGAGGGAAACCUACCUACUAUAAAAAGUUAAAUGAAAAAAUACCAGCAGAGGGAAGUCCAACACAGAUACCAUUUUUGCUCAAAGUAAAUCCACUGAGGGAAAUUCCCCUCUUAGGAAAAAAAAAAAAUUAUUAGAAACGACUGCUUUCAAAUUUCUUUCUAUCUCCAUUUCUUCACUGUCUUCUGAGGAGAGCCAACAGAGGUUAAUCCUGGAAAUCCUGUCUUGGGGUUGGCAGUUGUGGAGACUGACCACUUGGUACUUGGGGCAUCUACAGAAAAAGGAAAGUGAAAUGCUAGAUCCACAGGGGCCAAGAUACUCUGGAAUGUAAGUCACAGGUGAGCAGAGUAAGGACCAAGGCUGCCCUGGGGGAGUAUGUGACUAUGUUACAAGUUCAAGGUGGUGUCCCUGAUGUCUCAGAGGGAGGGGGACCCAGCUCCAAAGUUGCCCGCCACAGACACCAGAGAGGGUCUAGGGCAUUGUGUCUGCUGACUCUGUCCUUGGGGAUAGAACCGGCUUAAUCUCUCAGGGACCCAAAUUCCAGUUUCCUGUUUGGUAAAGAAGGCAUCAGCCAGCAUUCUGACCUGCACUGGUUCCUGAUUACUUUGAAUUAUGUGGCUCAGAAAACCCCAGAGAUUUCACUGUCUGAUACCUGGAGGCCAACUGAAAGAGAAACUAACUAAUUAAUGGCAGCAGAAGUCUAAAAGAAAAUGCAAAAUUUAGCACCUUCUAAGAGUAGAUUCUUGGUCUCAGUUUGGCUCUUGGCAGAGGCAGAGCUAAGAGUCCCCCCCACCCCAUGGAUGGGGGAAAGGUCCACAGCAUUGUCCACCCAGGGCGGUGUAACUUGACCCAGCUUUGAGUUCUGUGGCUCCUUUUAUGGCUGUUACUUUUAAGCACAGUUGCCUUUUGUUUUCCUCUUGCCAUGGAAACUAGUAAAUAAAGAGGAGCAAGAUUUUUGAAAGGUCUCCAGCUUUAGAUGCAUUGUGGCUUCAAGACCAGUCAAAAAGCUCCUCCCUGCCCCUCACCUGAAGAGGAAAUAGCGACUGGGGAUGAAGAAGGGAAGGAAAGAAUCGGAAGCUCUGGUCAAGGGAAGCGUGGGCUUCGUGUUGAGGUCCUCUGAGUCCAAUGUCUAACAUUUGGUGCUGUUUGUUCACAAAACUAUAGAGUGUGCACAUUAUACGAUUCUUCAGAAAACUGAGUUCAAUCCGAUGGUUUUUUGUUUCUUGGCUAUCCUUCAUGUAGCUUUCUUUGGGUGAUUAUUUACAGUUACUUCAGCAUGGUGUCACACGACUCAUUGCAGUGGAAUCCGGUCAGAUGGUCCUCACGCUCUGGUUCCAGCUAUGGACAUGUGUUUUGAUUUACUAAGUGCUUAAGCCGAUCAUCCUAUGCUCCAUUCCUAUGGAAGACAUCAUUUGCAGCAGACAACUUGGAAUAGCAGCAUCAUGCCUGCAAAAAAGAAUUUUUUUUUUCCAGUGACUUCCUGAUUAAUUCUAAAAUCUUCAACUGUCUUUUGGGUAGACACCAUUCCAAGUGGUUCACCCAGCACUUCUCAACCCUGGAUCCAUAACCUCCUCUCCAUCAACCCCUCCCACCUUCAUCCUGUGCAUUCCAUCACUCCCAAAGAGUCUCAGAAUGUCCUGGAUGGGACCUUGUGUGUGUGUGUGUGUGUGUGUGUGUGUGUGUGUGUGUGUGUGUUCAACACCCCAGGUGAGUUUUGAAGCCCAGACUCUGUUGAGAACCUCUGAGGUAAUGUGAUCUUUUAAAAGCAAUUUGCUUUCAUGACAAUACAGGACAUAAGGAUAGGAAGAGAAGAUGCUCACAGAAAUGAAGGCAGUGGAAUAAUGUCCACAUUCAUCAAGGGGCUUGCUUCAUGGUGAAGACCCGCUGCUCUCUUAUCUCAUGGGUUCAUUUGACUUUACAUAAAGUGCUAUAAAACUGUAAAAUUCUAUCGUGUUUUUGGAAUCUGAGACAUGAAGAAAGGUCACCUCCAGAUGUUAAAAAAAAAAAAAAAAAAGCAGACUGCCAUUUCACUGCACUCAAUCUGGCCUCACAGAUGAAAAACGGCAUGUGCUGGUAAAUCCACAGAUAAGGAGUCAUUCAUUUUCUGGAUGGUGAGUGACUGGCUCCCAGCACAUACAGUUCUGCAGGGAGAUGGACCCAGGCUUUAUGAGGGCUGUUCCGCAUGUAAGACAGACCCGAGCUCUGACAGAAACCACUCUCCAGGUGUGAGAUAGGUCUACUCUGCUUGUUCACAGCCUCUCAAUAAGGUGUGCUGUUUUUCAACAUGAUAUUGGUGUUCACGAGCUGGAGUUAUUGCAGUGGAGAUGCUCAAACCUAGGAAACCUGAUAUUCAGUUUUUGAGUGAACCCUGAAGCCAAUCUUUAGCUACAAGAAGAGUCUUCUGGAACCAACCAACUUUUGUUCAAAGCAGGAUCAAGCCCAUAAAGCCUCGCUUAACAGGAGGAAAAAGUACAAGAACUGUUUAAGGGUUGGGGAAAGAGGGAAAAAUGAACACACAUCUGCAUGCUACAAACAGACCGUCCCUAGUGAUGGAAAUGUCUCACGCUUGAUCCUCACUUUGCAAAUGAGAAACUCAGGACUUCCUGUGAGAGGGGUCACCAUGGUGGGCAGGAGGUCCCAGACAGUUUUCCAUCUUCUACAGCCGAGAAAUCUGGGCACAUUUUCCUCCCCAAGGAAGACUUGGGUGAGUGGCAGCUUCAUUAGGAAAAGAGAGAGGGCUACAGGUAAGUCCACAAAAACCAUCUCCUCUCACCACGCAGGGGAGCACAGCCUGCAGUCUCACACAGAGAAGGUGCUGCAGGAGAGCUGGACCCCAGCUCUAAAGCACCCCAGAGAGCUGAGCUUGUGGAGUCAGAGAGUCGCCAAGAGAGUUUAGCAGUCACCUGGUUCAGUAGGCUCGUGGGUUCCCCAUCAAUCUUCUGGAGAGCCUUUCAAAAUAAGGACUCUGGGUUUCACUCAGAAAUUUGGGUUCAGUGUUAAAAGCUCCCAGGUGAUUUCCAUAGACUGCUGCAUGGGAUCCACUUUUGCAAACUUUCCUUUUACAGUCAAAGGAACUGGGUCAGUAGAGUUGACUUUUUCACAUGCUGGGGACUCUAAAUGAGAUGCCUCUGUUCAAGCGUCUCCCUUUGGAAAUUGCGUGACUGGGGUCAAGGGUGUAGCUUAGUGGCAGAGCAUGUGCUUAGCAUGCUGAGGCCCUGGGCUUGAUCCCCAAAACACACACACAAAUUUUCAUGCUCAAAACAUUGUGUGACCCCUUUUUUUCCACUGUUUUCAGAACACACAGGAUUCUUUUGACUAUUCUUAAAAAAUAGGUUAACAGCAUACUUCUGAGAGGAGAAAAGAGUGAUAAAAUAAUUUGUUAUAUGUUUCUGAAAUAUCUGUUGACCGAAAAAGGUUUUUUUAUAUUGGUGGAGUACUAAGAGCUAUUAUUCUUUUAAAAUAUUUCUAAAAAUUAUUUCUAAUAAACUCAACACAUAUCCUUGU